rnacentral:rRNA from 1 species
ACUAUAACUAGCCCACCCCCCCCCCAUUACUAAUAUCAUAAGCCAGUCAAAUAAAACAUUCACCACGCGUUUAAAGUAUAGGAGAUAGAAAUUUAAUCAUCAGUGGAGCUAUAGAGAAAGUACCGUAAGGGAAAGAUGAAAGAAUCAAUAAAAGUAAAAAAAAGCAAAGCUUACCCCUUGUACCUUUUGCAUAAUGACUUAACUAGUAAUAAUUUAGCAAAGAGACCUUAAGUUAAAAUACCCGAAACCAGACGAGCUACUUACAAGCAGUGACUAGGACAAACUCAUCUAUGUGGCAAAAUAGUGAGAAGACUUAUAAGUAGAGGUGAAAAGCCUAACGAGCCUGGUGAUAGCUGGUUGUCCAAAAAAGGAAUUUCAGUUCAACAUUAAACAAUGCUAAGAACCCUAUCAAGUUUCAACGUAUGUUUAACUGUUAGUCUAAAAAGGUACAGCUUUUUAGAAACGGAUACAACCUUUACUAGAGAGUAAUAUAAAACUUAAACCAUAGUUGGCUUAAAAGCAGCCACCAAUUAAGAAAGCGUUCAAGCUCAACAACAAAAAUAAGUUUUAAUCCCAAUAAUAAAUAAAGCAACUCCUAGCCUGACUAUUGGACCAAUCUAUUUAAUUAUAGAAGCAAUACUGUUAAUAUGAGUAACAAGAAAAUUUUUCUCCUCGCACAAGCUUACAUCAGUAACUGAUAUUAUACUGAUAAUUAACAGUUAAUAAAUACAACCCAACACUAAAUUAUUUAUUAAACACACUGUUAACCCAACACAGGCGUGCACUAAGGAAAGAUUAAAAAAAGUAAAAGGAACUCGGCAAACACAAACCCCGCCUGUUUACCAAAAACAUCACCUCUAGCAUAACCAGUAUUAGAGGCACUGCCUGCCCAGUGACUUAAUCGUUAAACGGCCGCGGUAUCUUGACCGUGCAAAGGUAGCAUAAUCACUUGUUCUCUAAAUAAGGACUUGUAUGAAUGGCCACACGAGGGUUUUACUGUCUCUUACUUUUAAUCAGUGAAAUUGACCUCCCCGUGAAGAGGCGGGGAUAAUAAAAUAAGACGAGAAGACCCUAUGGAGCUUUAAUUAAUCAACUCAAAAAUCACAAAACAAUACCACUAAGGGAUAACAAAAUUUUAUAUGAGUUGACAAUUUCGGUUGGGGUGACCUCGGAGCACAAAAAACCCUCCGAGUGACUAAAACCUAGGCCUACUAGCCAAAGUGUAAUAUCACUUAUUGAUCCAAAUUUUUGAUCAACGGAACAAGUUACCCUAGGGAUAACAGCGCAAUCCUAUUCUAGAGUCCAUAUCGACAAUAGGGUUUACGACCUCGAUGUUGGAUCAGGACAUCCUAAUGGUGCAGCAGCUAUUAAGGGUUCGUUUGUUCAACGAUUAAAGUCCUACGUGAUCUGAGUUCAGACCGGAGUAAUCCAGGUCGGUUUCUAUCUAUUACGCAUUUCUCCCAGUACGAAAGGACAAGAGAAAUAAGGCCAACAUCAAAGAAGCGCCUUUAAAUAAUUAGUGAUUCAAUCUUAACCUAAUAAAUUAGCGCAAAUAUAUUAUGCCCAAAAUCAGGGCUUU